GUUGAAACAUUGGUUCUCGUUUGAUCACCGUAGUUAAGCAACGUUGAGCCUGGUCUGUAUUGAGAUGGGUGACCGCUUCAGCAUACAAGGUGCUGUAU